rnacentral:rRNA from 1 species
UACGUAGGGUCCGAGCGUUGUCCGGAAUUACUGGGCGUAAAGAGCUCGUAGGUGGUUUGUCGCGUUGUUCGUGAAAACUCACAGCUCAACUGUGGGCGUGCGGGCGAUACGGGCAGACUUGAGUACUGCAGGGGAGACUGGAAUUCCUGGUGUAGCGGUGGAAUGCGCAGAUAUCAGGAGGAACACCGGUGGCGAAGGCGGUUCUCUGGGCAUGAUCUGACGCUGAGGAGCGAAAGUGUGGGGAGCGAACAGG